rnacentral:rRNA from 1 species
UACGAAGGGAGCUAGCGUUGUUCGGAAUCACUGGGCGUAAAGCGCACGUAGGCGGAUUUGCCAGUCAGGGGUGAAAUCCCGGGGCUCAACCUCGGAACUGCCUUUGAUACAGCAAGUCUUAAGUUCGAGAGAGGUGGGUGGAAUUCCUAGUGUAGAGGUGAAAUUCGUAGAUAUUAGGAAGAACACCGGUGGCGAAGGCGGCCCACUGGCUCGACACUGACGCUGAGGUGCGAAAGCGUGGGGAGCAAACAGG